rnacentral:lncRNA from 1 species
AGGGACCCUGCCUGCAGCUUCCAGAGCCCAGCGGCUGGGCCAUGCGGAGAGGAACGGACUGGCUGGGACCUGGCAUGGGUCCAGUCCUGCCACCACUUUGCUCCUGGACAGGGUCAUCUGUGCCUCUUUUCAUCCGGGCAAAUAAGAUUCGACGAUGCAGGAAUCUCUGGGACUUUGCUCCUAGGACUGCCCGGGAAUCUUGACCCAUCGCUAAGUAAGAUGGUGUUUAUAAACACAGGGGAACCUCUCAAAGGAACAAAAAGCAUUUAUUCACUCAACCUGGGACUUCAACUUUAUGGAAGAAGUAAGAGAAGAAGAGGAAGAAGAGGAAGAAGAAGCGGUGGCGGCGGAGGAGGAAGAGGAGGAGGAGGAAGAGAAGAGGAAGAAGAAGAAGGAGGAGGAGUAGCAGGAGGAGAAGAAGAGGAGGAGGAGGAGGAAUGCAUUUGUAUUCCGUCUGGAAAAGAGCUUUCCCUAGGCAAAGCUAAGACACACAGCUGCAGCCUUGACCGAUGACAGCUGUCCAUUUCAGGUCCCACUCAUAGAAAUAAUGACCCGGGCACAGGCAGCAAUUGUAGCAGACGCUAUUCCUUUUUUCUGUGUGUGCAUCAUUUUCGUUUGGUUUGUUUCUUACUCUUUGGUAGGAAUUUCUGCUUGAUGCUCCCACAGGACCUCGGUUCAGCUGGAUCAGUGGAAAACCUGUACAACUUGUCCCUUUAUAAAAACUCCCAGUUACAGUUUUUCUUUGAUAUUUACUUUGGAAUACCUAGAGACUCUUCCCACCCACAUCCCCCUUUCCAAAGACAACAUGGUCGUGUUGGAAACAAAAUUCGGGAGACCAGAGGACUUUGACUGUGGGAAGAAAUGUGGUAGUUUAGGAACCUGCGACUCCUUCUUCCCAGCCCUCCAGACCCUCCAAAGAGCUGUUGACAAGAGCCUUAGAUGAAGGCCCUGAGCUGUAGCCUAGCGCAAUUCUCCUUUGCCUAUCUGAAGAGCAGGACAGGCAGGAUUAGCGAGGCAAACAAAACCUGAAGGACUUCUUAAUAGCCAGACAUCUGAGGCCCUUCAGAACCACUUUGAAGAUCGGGGGUGAUACUGGCUGAGGCUCCAGGUUUAUCAUUUGAUUUGUGACUUUCAGCUCAGGCAGGAGACAGAGAGGAGAGUUCACCAGAGACAAGUCACUUCUGUUGAAUGAGUCACCAUCGCCACACAGCUGCUUGUUCCAGAGCAGCUAUGGUGGGGACAUUGUCUAGGAUCCCAGGAAAAGUGAAAACAUUGACCGGAAUGUUUCCAGCACAAUGAAUGUGAUAACAGAGAAUGAAUAAGUGGAACAGCUCCAACACAGCCAAGAAGAUGUUGCUUUAUGAGAGCUGACUUUCCCCAGAGCAGUGCGCUCCCAUCACAAGGAGGAUUAAUUCAUACAUUUCAAGGCCUAAAUGACAGACGAUAAAUGUGUGUAAUUAUGUAAGUGAGCCCACUGUGUUAGUAUGCAAAGGUGCCCACUUUUCCUGCAUCAGAUAUUGACCCUCUUCCAUGUCAAAAUUCAGAGAGUGACAGCUGCCAAUCUCACCCCAGCAUCCUCACCUGCUAACCAGGUAUCUGUACUCACUCAGCGUGCCUGCUUGGCGAAUCUCAGCUGAGUCAGUUACAACAGGUCCCCUUUCAGACAGGUGAUGAUUAGAAGGUUUGUGACUCAAAGAGCAUGACGUGUUCCCUUUCCUCUGCAGCAGGAAGAUACUCCCUGAUAUCGUAGCAGUGACUCAGCCUGCCAAGACAAUCCAUUUCAUUCUUGUACCAUUCUUGCAUAAAUCACAGUGCAGAAAGCUUGGCAAGAUAAUUUUUAAAUUUUAAACUCGACCAGGAGAACUGUUGAGAAAUAAGACUUCAUAUUGAAGUACGUUUCCUCUCCUCGGAAGCUUUCAAGAGGCGAUGCUGGGUGAAGGGUUACUCCAAGUUCUGGAGGCUGAAAGUCCAAGAUCACGAUGCUGGCAGAAUCGGUGUCUGGUGGGAGCCUGUUUCCUGGCUCGUUGAUGGUGCCUUCUCCUUGGGUCCUCACCCGGUGAAAGAGUGACACGUUCCUGAGAACACUGCGGACAGAAGGCGCAAAUGUCUCAUACCUGAACUUAGCCCACGUGUCGCUUCUGUGUUUAUUAUGUUUUUGUUAGAAUUGGUCUGUGUUCAUUCUAAGUGUAAAAAGAACGCAAAUUAAAUAGGAUACAAGAUAUAUGACUAAAACCUUUUAAAACUAAUAUUUAUAUGAAAUAAGACAUUCUGUGUUAUUUUUAGGUGAGGUGAGAAAAAUGUCCUAUUAUAAGAUAUAUAGUUUCUUAUAAUGGAAAGAAACAUACAUAUUUCCCAUUAAAUAACCUCUGACAUUAUUUUAACAUUUUCUACCAAGUUUAUUACUGAUAAAUAGAAGUCAAGAAAUAACGCCACUGAGAAUAUCCUAUAUUGAAGAAUCUUGUUUUAUAAAGCAUCUUCCCAUACAAUGAUAAUCGGUUACUGUAAUAUCUUUUCAAGCCAUACCACUCAGAAAUAUUUUAAAUAUUAUACAACUUUGUAUAUAUAUAUAUAUUAUAUAUAUGCAUAUUUUCUUUAGUCAAUGACAUGAUGCUUUACACAAGUCAAAUAUUAUAUUCAUAAUCUUAGAAAAGAUCUCAUAAAGAACUUGGUAACUAACUUUGAGUGUAUGUGAGACUCUUUCAGGACACUCUUAAGAAAUCAAACAUUUGGUAUUGUGUUCUUUGCUCGAGUACAACUUGAUCAUACGAGUCUAAUCUGUGUUUCCAUGUUUCUGCAUUUGAAUGAAACUAAACUGAAAUGCUUGGAACCAGUGCCUUUCCUCUCUGAAGGCUCUGCACUAUGGGCCAUGUGACUGUUCUCAGAUGUUGAAAGAAACCCACCUCCAGGAACUGGACCUCACUUGACCAAGCAAACCACGCGACACCAGCCUAUGUGUCCACUCACCCUUGAAAGAAUGGAGGGAAAAGCUUCUCCUGCUGGGCUGUGUCCUGCAGCCGGGAAUCCUGGCGGGAGGCAGAGGCCUCUGAUACGCUUCUGAUGGGUGGGUGGGAGGUCCGUGUGUGCGUGCAUGCGUGCAUGUGUGUGUGAGAGAGACAGGAAUGUGCCUUCUUUAUCAGAAGCCAUUUCCUAUGUUCAAAUGUGAUUUCUCUAUUUAUCUACAAUCUCAACUAGAAGCAUAGAAAGAAUUCUCACUCAUGUUUAGGG